rnacentral:rRNA from 1 species
UACGUAGGGUGCAAGCGUUGUCCGGAAUUAUUGGGCGUAAAGAGCUCGUAGGCGGUUUGUCGCGUCGAAUGUGAAAACCCGGGGCUCAACCCCGGGCCUGCAUUCGAUACGGGCAGACUAGAGUUCGGUAGGGGAGUCUGGAAUUCCUGGUGUAGCGGUGAAAUGCGCAGAUAUCAUGAGGAACACCGGUGGCGAAGGCGGGUCUCUGGGCCGAUACUGACGCUGAGGAGCGAAAGCGUGGGGAGCGAACAGG